rnacentral:misc_RNA from 1 species
AAGUCGUAACAAGGUUUCCGUAGGUGAACCUGCGGAAGGAUCAUUACCGAGUUCUCGAGCUUCGGCUCGACUCUCCCACCCUUUGUGAACAUACCUCUGUUGCUUUGGCGGCUCUCGGGGCCUUGCGGCCUCGCGUCCGCCAGAGGACCUUCAAACUCCAGUCAGUAAACGUCGACGUCUGAUAAACAAGUUAAUAAACUAAAACUUUCAACAACGGAUCUCUUGGUUCUG